GCCUCUGUAGCAUAGUAGCUAUUGCGCUUCCUUGGUAAGGAAGAGGUCGCGGGUGCAAAUCCCGUCAGAGGCU
rnacentral:tRNA from 1 species